AGCAUGCGCUGCUAUAAUGCAGUCGAGCGAACGGAUAAGGAGCUUGCUCCUUUGAAGUUAGCGGCGGACGGGUGAGUAACACGUGGGUAACCUACCUAUAAGACUGGAAUAACUUCGGGAAACCGGAGCUAAUGCCGGAUAACAUUUGGAACCGCAUGGUUCUAAAGUAAAAGAUGGUUUUGCUAUCACUUAUAGAUGGACCCGCGCCGUAUUAGCUAGUUGGUAAGGUAACGGCUUACCAAGGCAACGAUACGUAGCCGACCUGAGAGGGUGAUCGGCCACACUGGAACUGAGACACGGUCCAGACUCCUACGGGAGGCAGCAGUAGGGAAUCUUCCGCAAUGGACGAAAGUCUGACGGAGCAACGCCGCGUGAGUGAUGAAGGUUUUCGGAUCGUAAAACUCUGUUAUUAGGGAAGAACAAAUGUGUAAGUAACUGUGCACAUCUUGACGGUACCUAAUCAGAAAGCCACGGCUAACUACGUGCCAGCAGCCGCGGUAAUACGUAGGUGGCAAGCGUUAUCCGGAAUUAUUGGGCGUAAAGCGCGCGUAGGCGGUUUCUUAAGUCUGAUGUGAAAGCCCACGGCUCAACCGUGGAGGGUCAUUGGAAACUGGGAAACUUGAGUACAGAAGAGGAAAGUGGAAUUCCAUGUGUAGCGGUGAAAUGCGCAGAGAUAUGGAGGAACACCAGUGGCGAAGGCGACUUUCUGGUCUGUAACUGACGCUGAUGUGCGAAAGCGUGGGGAUCAAACAGGAUUAGAUACCCUGGUAGUCCACGCCGUAAACGAUGAGUGCUAAGUGUUAGGGGGUUUCCGCCCCUUAGUGCUGCAGCUAACGCAUUAAGCACUCCGCCUGGGGAGUACGACCGCAAGGUUGAAACUCAAAGGAAUUGACGGGGACCCGCACAAGCGGUGGAGCAUGUGGUUUAAUUCGAGCAACGCGAAGAACCUUACCAAAUCUUGACAUCCUUUGAAACUCUAGAGAUAGAGCCUUCCCCUUCGGGGGACAAAGUGACAGGUGGUGCAUGGUUGUCGUCAGCUCGUGUCGUGAGAUGGUGGGGUAAAGUC
rnacentral:rRNA from 1 species